GACGAACGCUGGCGGCGUGCUUAACACAUGCAAGUCGAACGGAAAGGCCCUGCUUUUGUGGGGUUCUCGAGUGGCGAACGGGUGAGUAACACGUGAGUAACCUGCCCUUGACUUUGGGAUAACUUCAGGAAACUGGGGCUAAUACCGGAUAGGAGCUCCUGCUGCAUGGUGGGGGUUGGAAAGUUUCGGCGGUUGGGGAUGGACUCGCGGCUUAUCAGCUUGUUGGUUGGGUAGUGGCUUACCAAGGCUUUGACGGGUAGCCGGCCUGAGAGGGUGACCGGCGACAAGGGGACUGAGAGACGGCCCAGACUGCUACGGGAGGCAGCAGUGGGGAAUAUUGCACAAUGAGAGGAAGCCUGAUGCAGCAACGCCGCGUGCGGGAUGACGGCCUUCGGGUUGUAAACCGCUUUCGCUUGUGACGAAGCGUGUGUGACGGUAAUGGGUAAAGAAGCACCGGCUAACUACGUG
rnacentral:rRNA from 1 species